CAGGGGUUUGAAGUUUGAAAAGUGCUCUGGUUCAUUUAAGCUGUGAGUCACUAUAUGUAUGUAUGUAUGUAUAUAUGUAUACAUAUAUACUUCAGCGGUCGGCACGCACACAUUACAUUGCGUUUGUGUGCGUUGACAGAAGUCAAACUAAAACAAAAAGUAUUAUUGUGUUGCUGCCGACCACUGUUACAAACGCGUUGUGCCGGGUCGCAGUUUGACAUUAUCGUUCAUGUUCUAUUACGUGCUCCGGUGUUUCUUGCGAAUCAUGCCCGCUUUAAGUCCGUUUGCGAGACUUUGGUCGUCGCUCGGUUUUUGACCGGUAAAUGCUCGUUUCGAAGUCCGUCUGCGAGCAUUGGCCUGUGCCGUGUAGGUGUACAUGUAUGAAAACAAAAGGUGAAGCGGAGAUUGAAAUAAAUUAUGACUCUGUCAAACGCACUUUGCAAAGAAAAAGACAGCCUUUCUUGCCAAAGCCUCCAUCUUCUGCAGAGAAUGUUCUGGAAGCUUUUCAAGACGAAAAUAUUAUGAACCGUUUUGGAAUAGCCAAGGGAAAUACUGCAAAUCAGUUCUAUAAAAAAAGUGUACGCAUCGAGCUCGUUUGCUUAUUGCAUAUUUUCAUCAGACAAGAUAACCCCUUUUGUUUUGUUUUGAUGACUCGCAAAACGGAGCUGUGUUAUCAGCACUUAUUCACAUAUGUAUAUAGACUCGAACAUUUGCUGCCUUAAAGGAGCAUCCUUUAUAUCAGAUUACGAAAAGGCAAUGCGUAACGCGUUAAAAGGUCUGCAUCCCAACAUGAAUUUUUACGCCUGUUGGUUUCAUUUUACUCAAGCAUGCAAGAAAAAUCGAGUGGUUUUGAAAAUACGCUGAAAUGCAAUAAGAAAGCUUACAUGCUAUUUAUGAAAUUUUUGCACUUGCCGCUUUUACCAGAAAGCAAAAUUGUCGAAGCAUUUAACCUUCUAAAAGGCGAAGCAAUAAACUUAAAUAAGAAUCUGUUUUCUCCAUUUUUAAAAUAUUUUAAUAGACAGUGGCUUAAAAAGGAGGGACCAAAAAGCAUAUCCGUGUUUAAGAGGUCAACUAGAACCACGAGCUCAGUAGAAGCUUAUAAUUUGAAUUUGGAAAAUAAAAUUCGAGCAAAUGGGCACUUUUUUAAAUUUGUUCAAUGUCUUAUUGAUGCAGAAAAUGAAAAAAGUCGCGAGUUUGCUUUACUCUUUCAAAAUGGUGGUAAUGGAAAUCAGACACAGAAGAAGAAAUUACGUGAUCGCUCAAAAAAAAUAAUGGACGCAAUGGAUCUUUUUGAAAGAGGUGAAAUAGAUAUACAGGGAUUUCUGACAUGCACUGUUUCCUUAGCAGGACAUCUUUGAAGGGGUGGACAAUGAAAGCAAUUUAACUGGAAUGUCUUCUGAUAUGAAAUCUUCCACAUCGUCACUUUCAUCGAAUGCUUCUCAUUCAAGUCAGUCAUCUGAUAAAUCAUUGGUUCAAAUGAAUCCAUGCAAUGUGUGCCUAUGUAACCCAAAGUCUGUGUUGUUGCGCCCGUGCAAUCACGUAAACAUUUGUGGUACAUGUUGGGAUCAAAUUGUGGCC